UUUUUUUUCAAUUUAGCCAUUCAAUUACAAUUUCUUAUGUGUUUUAUUUUUCAUUUCAGUCAUUAUUCUUUUAAUUUUUCAUUUCAUUUUAUAGUCUUAGUCCUUAUUCUUUUAAUUUAUUUUUUCAUUUUUUUUUCAAUUUAUUCCUUCAAUUAUGGUUUUUGUAUAUGAUGUUUUUCAAUUCGGUCAUUCUGCUUUGGAUUUUUUAUUUUUCCCUUGGCUUUUUUGUCAAAGGUUUUUUAGUUUUUAAUUUUAUCAUUCAAAUCAAAUUUAUGA
rnacentral:lncRNA from 1 species